GUGAAUCAUCGAAUUUUUGAACGCAAAUUGCACUCUCCGGUUUUCCGGGAGAGUAGGCCUGUUUAAGGGCCUGUUUAAACAAUAAUCGAGGCUGCUGCUGUGGUCGCUCUUCGGAAGUGGGUCAUCUUUCACCUUUCGGUUGUAAGCGACCUAAAAUUUUUUUUACGAUUUCUACGAACGUGUCUAGGUAUUUCUUGUACGUUCACGACAUCGAA
rnacentral:misc_RNA from 1 species